GGUGUUUCCAGGGUCCUGUGGGCUAAGUGACUCAUCACCCACAGAGCCCCAGAGGCCGGCUGUUUGCAGCUGGAACUGGGUCUCCUGAGAUCCAGAGCAAUGGAGGGCAGUACCCUCGGCCCUGUGUCAGGUCACAAAGGAGUUCUGGAGUUGGAUGGUGGUGAUGGCUGCACAACAGUGGGAACGUCCUUAAUACCAUUGAACCACACGCUUAAAACGGGCUACCAUGUGGCUGGAACACAGACAUGUCUGAGGGGCUCACUGCCCUCUCUCACCAACCAUGGCUACCAGAGUGACCAAUAAAGGGGCCUGGGCAACGGUUCCCUCAGACCAUCCUUCCCUGCUCCGAACCCUUCACCGCCCUGCCCAGCUCCAAGAUGUCUCCACCUGCAGCCUCGCCUCCCUUCUCCUCCAGCCUCGCCUCCCUCCUCCUGCAACCUCCCUUCCCUCCACCUCCAACCCCGCCUCCC
rnacentral:lncRNA from 1 species